GUAGAACGCUUGCGGCAGGCUUAAUACAUGCAAGUCGGACGGUAACAGGGUCUUCGGACUGCUGACGAGUGGCGGAUGGGUGAGUAACGCGUAUGCAACCUUCCUCACACCGAGAAAAAGUCGACUAGAAAAGUUGAAUAAAGUCUCGUGGUGUGCAUUUCUCGCAUGAGAUGUGUAUGAUAGAAGCAAUUUGGUGUGAGAUGGGCAUGCGUAUCAUUAGCUAGUUGGUAGGGUAACGGCUUACCAAGGCGACGAUGAUUAGGGGGCCUGAGAGGGUGGUCCCCCACACUGGGACUGAGACACGGCCCAGACUCCUACGGGAGGCAGCAGUAGGGAAUAUUGGUCAAUGGGCGGAAGCCUGAACCAGCCAUGCCGCGUGAUGGAUGACGGCCUUAGGGUUGUAAACAUCUUUUCUGCUAGAGGAAUAGAGUUCACGCGUGGACAG
rnacentral:rRNA from 1 species